UCAUUGUGCGUCGUACGAAGAUUUAGUGCUAGACAGACGCUAGGUGCUUACACAAACUGGGUUAUACUAAAUACAAUAGCAUUCAAAUUAAAACGAUCUGUUAUAGAAUCUUCUAGAUUUUCGUUGGAUUUUAUUGUUUCAAGGUUGGAUACAGAAACAGGGUGAUCAAAAUAUAAUAUAAGAUAAAUAGAAUUCGUUAAAAUGAAACUUCAUAUGAAAUGAAAAGCCAUACAAAUGAACCUUGACUGCUAUGUGAAAAAAUAGCAAAAAAAUAACACGGAAUUUUCUCAGCAGAAGUCAGUUCGUGGAAGAGUAAUAGUGACUAAGGCUGAUAUGAUGGUGACGAAGCCAGAAUGCCUUCAACCAGACUUACGUCAACGAGUAAUCGGCACUAACAUAGGUGCUUCUAUUUGGCAGUAACACGGGAAGUAACAAAAUCAAUAAGAUAUUUGUACUCAAGAUUAAACUACAACAAUAAUUUUGACCGUUGCAGUAACUGAAAACAAGAAUCAAUAAUUAUGACGGCCAAAAAAAUGGAAGCAACCAUGGAGCAUCUUGUAGAGACUAUUAGAAAGGCUGUCGAAUCGUCUUCGAACCAGCAAAAAAAUUAAACAGAAAUGAAAAAGGAAAAUUAUAGAUCACGGCUCAAAUGGAGACAUUAUAAUAAAGUAAAAAGAAUGGAAAAAUCCGGGCGACAUCGGGCCUAAGGCUUAGUUAUUAAUAUGCAAUGUAGACAGUGGAAGCAAGAAGGUGAAGACGGUAGAACAUUGAAAUAAAAUAUGGGAAAUAAUAAGGGAAAACAAACUCUUAUAUAAGGAUCUUCUCGACAUUUUUAACUAGUGACCAGUUAUGGGACUCGAAAAUACAACAUAUUUACAUUAAAACUAACAAAAACAACAAAGUUUUUUUAACAAUAAGAUUUCUUUACAAAUAAGCAUUACCUUUGCAAACUCUUUUAUUCCUGCUGUGUUUCUCUAUCGUAUGUGUACUAAUGUUCAUGUGUUAA